rnacentral:rRNA from 1 species
GAUGAACGCUAGCUACAGGCUUAACACAUGCAAGUCGAGGGGCAGCAUGGUCUUAGCUUGCUAAGACUGAUGGCGACCGGCGCACGGGUGAGUAACACGUAUCCAACCUGCCGUCUACUCUUGGACAGCCUUCUGAAAGGAAGAUUAAUACAAGAUGGCAUCAUGAGUCCGCAUGUUCACAUGAUUAAAGGUAUUCCGGUAGACGAUGGGGAUGCGUUCCAUUAGAUAGUAGGCGGGGUAACGGCUCACCUAGUCUUCGAUGGAUAGGGGUUCUGAGAGGAAGGUCCCCCACAUUGGAACUGAGACACGGUCCAAACUCCUACGGGAGGCAGCAGUGAGGAAUAUUGGUCAAUGGGCGAGAGCCUGAACCAGCCAAGUAGCGUGAAGGAUGACUGCCCUAUGGUUGUAAACUUCUUUAUAAAGGAAUAAAGUCGGGUAUGCAUACCCGUUUGCAUGUACUUUAUGAAUAAGGAUCGGCUAACUCCGU